UUAAGCGACUAAGCGUACACGGUGGAUGCCCUGGCAGUCAGAGGCGAUGAAGGACGUGCUAAUCUGCGAAAAGCGUCGGUAAGGUGAUAUGAACCGUUAUAACCGGCGAUGUCCGAAUGGGGAAACCCAGUGCAAUUCGUUGCACUAUCGUUAACUGAAUACAUAGGUUAACGAGGCGAACCGGGGGAACUGAAACAUCUAAGUACCCCGAGGAAAAGAAAUCAACCGAGAUUCCCCCAGUAGCGGCGAGCGAACGGGGAGCAGCCCAGAGUCUGAAUCAGCUUGUGUGUUAGUGGAACGGUCUGGAAAGUCCGACGGUACAGGGUGAUAGUCCCGUACACCAAAAUGCACAGGCUGUGAACUCGAAGAGUAGGGCGGGACACGUGGUAUCCUGUCUGAAUAUGGGGACCAUCCUCCAAGGCUAAAUACUCCUGACUGACCGAUAGUGAACCAGUACCGUGAGGGAAAGGCGAAAAGAACCCCGGCGAGGGAGUGAAAAGAACCUGAAACCGUGUACGUACAAGCAGUGGGAGCACCUUCGGGUGUGACUGCGUACCUUUUGUAUAAUGGGUCAGCGACUUAUAUUCUGUAGCAAGGUUAACCGUAUAGGGGAGCCGCAGGGAAACCGAGUCUUAACUGGGCGUUAAGUUGCAGGGUAUAGACCCGAAACCCGGUGAUCUAGCCAUGGGCAGGUUGAAGGUUGGGUAACACUAACUGGAGGACCGAACCGACUAAUGUUGAAAAAUUAGCGGAUGACUUGUGGCUGGGGGGUGAAAGGCCAAUCAAACCGGGAGAUAGCUGGUUCUCCCCGAAAGCUAUUUAGGUAGCGCCUCGUGAACUCAUCUUCGGGGGUAGAGCACUGUUUCGGCUAGGGGGGUCAUCCCGACUUACCAACCCGAUGCAAACUACGAAUACCGAAGAAUGUUAUCACGGGAGACACACGGCGGGUGCUAACGUCCGUCGUGAAGAGGGAAACAACCCAGACCGCCAGCUAAGGUCCCAAAGUCAUGGUUAAGUGGGAAACGAUGUGGGAAGGCACAGACAGCCAGGAUGUUGGCUUAGAAGCAGCCAUCAUUUAAAGAAAGCGUAAUAGCUCACUGGUCGAGUCGGCCUGCGCGGAAGAUGUAACGGGGCUAAACCAUGCACCGAAGCUGCGGCAGCGACACUAUGUGUUGUUGGGUAGGGGAGCGUUCUGUAAGCCUGCGAAGGUGACCUGUGAGGGUUGCUGGAGGUAUCAGAAGUGCGAAUGCUGACAUAAGUAACGAUAAAGCGGGUGAAAAGCCCGCUCGCCGGAAGACCAAGGGUUCCUGUCCAACGUUAAUCGGGGCAGGGUGAGUCGACCCCCUAAGGCGAGGCCGAAAGGCGUAGUCGAUGGGAAACAGGUUAAUAUUCCUGUACUUGGUGUUACUGCGAAGGGGGGACGGAGAAGGCUAUGUUAGCCGGGCGACGGUUGUCCCGGUUUAAGCAUGUAGGCUGGUUAUCCAGGCAAAUCCGGAUAAUCAAGGCUGAGGUGUGAUGACGAGGCACUACGGUGCUGAAGUAACAAAUGCCCUGCUUCCAGGAAAAGCCUCUAAGCAUCAGGUAACAUUGAAUCGUACCCCAAACCGACACAGGUGGUCAGGUAGAGAAUACCAAGGCGCUUGAGAGAACUCGGGUGAAGGAACUAGGCAAAAUGGUGCCGUAACUUCGGGAGAAGGCACGCUGGUGUGUAGGUGAAGCCCCUGCGGGUGGAGCUGAGACCAGUCGAAGAUACCAGCUGGCUGCAACUGUUUAUUAAAAACACAGCACUGUGCAAACACGAAAGUGGACGUAUACGGUGUGACGCCUGCCCGGUGCCGGAAGGUUAAUUGAUGGGGUUAUCCGUAAGGAGAAGCUCUUGAUCGAAGCCCCGGUAAACGGCGGCCGUAACUAUAACGGUCCUAAGGUAGCGAAAUUCCUUGUCGGGUAAGUUCCGACCUGCACGAAUGGCGUAAUGAUGGCGCUGUCUCCACCCGAGACUCAGUGAAAUUGAACUCGCUGUGAAGAUGCAGUGUACCCGCGGCAAGACGGAAAGACCCCGUGAACCUUUACUAUAGCUUGACACUGAACAUUGAGCCUUGAUGUGUAGGAUAGGUGGGAGGCUUUGAAGCGUGGACGCCAGUCUGCGUGGAGCCAACCUUGAAAUACCACCCUUUAAUGUUUGAUGUUCUAACGUUGGCCCCUGACCGGGGUUGCGGACAGUGUCUGGUGGGUAGUUUGACUGGGGCGGUCUCCUCCCAAAGCGUAACGGAGGAGCACGAAGGUUAGCUAAUCGGUCGGACAUCAGGAGGUUAGUGCAAUGGCAUAAGCUAGCUUGACUGCGAGCGUGACGGCGCGAGCAGGUGCGAAAGCAGGUCAUAGUGAUCCGGUGGUUCUGAAUGGAAGGGCCAUCGCUCAACGGAUAAAAGGUACUCCGGGGAUAACAGGCUGAUACCGCCCAAGAGUUCAUAUCGACGGCGGUGUUUGGCACCUCGAUGUCGGCUCAUCACAUCCGGGCUGAAGUAGGUCCCAAGGGUAUGGCUGUUCGCCAUUUAAAGUGGUACGCGAGCUGGGUUUAGAACGUCGUGAGACAGUUCGGUCCCUAUCUGCCGUGGGCGCUGGAGAAUUGAGGGGGGCUGCUCCUAGUACGAGAGGACCGGAGUGGACGCAUCACUGGUGUUCGGGUUGUCAUGCCAAUGGCACUGCCCGGUAGCUAAAUGCGGAAGAGAUAAGUGCUGAAAGCAUCUAAGCACGAAACUUGCCCCGAGAUGAGUUCUCCCUGAGACUUUAAGUCUCCUGAAGGAACGUUAAAGACGAUGACGUUGAUAGGCCGGGUGUGUAAGCGCAGCGAUGCGUUGAGCUAACCGGUACUAAUGAACCGUGAGGCUUAACCU
rnacentral:rRNA from 1 species